AAUAGAUACCCCGGUAGUCCACGCCGUAAACGAUGGAUACUAGCUGUUUGAGCGCAAGUUUGAGUGGCUAAGCGAAAGUGAUAAGUAUCCCACCUGGGGAGUACGGGCGCAAGCCUGAAACUCAAAGGAAUUGACGGGGGCCCGCACAAGCGGUGGAGCAUGUGGUUUAAUUCGAUGAUACGCGAGGAGCCUUACCAGGGCUUAAAUGUAGAUUGACGUAUUUGGAAACAGAUAUUUCUUCGGACAAUUUACAAGGUGCUGCAUGGUUGUCGUCAGCUCGUGCCGUGAGGUGUCAGGUUAAGUCCUAUAACGAGCGCAACCCCUGUUGUUAGUUGCCAGCGAGUAAUGUCGGGAACUCUAGCAAGACUGCCAGUGUAAACUGUGAGGAAGGUGGGGAUGACGUCAAAUCAUCACGGCCCUUACGUCCUGGGCCACACACGUGCUACAAUGGCCGGUACAGAGAGCAGCCACUUAGCGAUAAGGAGCGAAUCUAUAAAGCCGGUCACAGUUCGGAUCGGAGU
rnacentral:rRNA from 1 species